rnacentral:rRNA from 1 species
UACGUAGGGGGCAAGCGUUGUCCGGAAUUAUUGGGCGUAAAGAGCGCGUAGGCGGUCCGAUAAGUCGGCUGUGAAAGUCCAGGGCUCAACCCUGGAAAGCCGGCCGAUACUGUCGGACUAGAGUCCGGAAGAGGCAAGUGGAAUUCCCGGUGUAGCGGUGAAAUGCGCAGAUAUCGGGAGGAACACCAAUGGCGAAGGAAGCUUGCUGGGACGGUACUGACGCUGAGGCGCGAAAGCGUGGGGAGCAAACAGG